UUGCAGGUAGACCUCAUCCGAACUCCUACAAGGGCCAGACUCCGAGCUUCUACUGCAAGCGAUCUACUCCGAGCUUCUACUGCAGGCUUCGACUGAGCUUCCUUGAUAAAUGAUCCUCAUUUGGGCUUCUACAGAGAUCGGACUCCGAUCGAAUAGCGGAUAGAUUUCGGACGAACUCCUAUGACACAUGGACUCCAGC
rnacentral:lncRNA from 1 species